UGUAGUGCAUCAGCACGUCUGGAAAACAGCAGGUGUUAAAAGGUGCUUUACAAGAAAAAGUCAUAACAAUGAUGCUUGCAAGUCAAAGACAGAGAGAUUCAAACAGUGAAUGAGACAUAUGCCGUUAGAAGUGAGGCUGGUUAACAACUGAAACUAGCUACCGAGAGAAAUGAUGAACUUUCCAUCUCUUCAUGCCUUCAGAUGAAGAUAAACCACCUUUCUGUGAGAUGUGCUUCAGCUGAACAAAGCAAACCUGCGGAUGGGAAUGAACAUCUAGGAGAAGCCUUUUGUACUGUAGAGGAGGGAUUCCAUUAUUUCUCCUGCAUUUUGGACAUUGAGAAUGGAAGCCG